rnacentral:lncRNA from 1 species
AUUUAGCGAUUUAAAUUAUUUUAAAGGCAUAUUAUUUAAUUUUAUUAUUACGAGAUCGUAAUCAGUUCGAAUUUGGUGUGCGAAGAAAUCUAUGUUACCCGCUUAAUGAAAUAAAAUGUUCGGUGGAGACAUCUACCGAUUCUUUCGAAAGUAUCGUAAUCGUAGACUCUCAAGGUGCAUAAAAAUUGUACGGAAUUCAUUUUCAAAAUUGCAUUCAAUUGCAUUAAAUUGCAGUGUCAAAUAAUUCUUCGCCUAAAUGAUAUAUUGGAAACAGUAUAUAUAAUUACAAUCGAUGCUUUCAUUCAAUCACAGUUCGAAAUAAUUGUUGAAAUUUUGCUACAACUUAUGAAACAAAACCUAUAUAAAAUUAUAUACCAUACCUUAUACCACAUUAUAAUACUUGAUUAAUUAGUAUAAAAAUAAUAAUUGAGGAUGAACAAAAUGUAAUUCUUUACUCGAAAAAUGAAAUUUUAAAUGUAUAAUAGCAGCAAUCUAUACAAUCUAUUACCUGUAAUUUCAUUCAACACAAAGUUUUAAUCGUAUAAAACGCUGUAUAAUAAAUUGGCACACAAUUCAUAAAGUGUCAUAAAUUUUAAAGUACAUAUAAAGUAUAGUGUAGCAGAAACAUAGCUAUCGCUUAAAAUACCACAGCCAAUCGUCGACAAACAUUUGUGAGGUCAGUCCACCGAGCUCUCGUGAAAUUAGCUGAAGAGGGAGAAAUAGAAUGCAGCUAGUGAAUGUGGCAUAACAGAAUAAAAGGAGCACGGUGCAUCCUUUACUGAUGAAAGUCUGACUCGACCUACAGGCCACCACAAAAUUAUCUUCUUUAACUCUCAUCACUAGAGGAAAAAUAUUUUCUACUUCAAGUCAAAGAAAACAUGAAUGCAAAUGAAAUAGAAGGAAUGGAAAAUAAUGAAUUAUUUAAAACGACAUGAAGUAAACCAUACACAAAAUCAUAUUUUGAAGAAGCUAAAAAAUAUUGGAAUAUUACUGUUAUAUAAAAUAGGAAGAAAAUUAAGAUACAUAUAUAUAAUCAUUUUAAUUAUGUUGUACAAACACAUACAGAACCUUGAAGACACUGCUAAAGAUAGACCAGAGGAUUUUCGCGGGUGGCAAAGGAAGGCAGUCGGCGAAAGACGAGCUUUCUUCGAAUCGAAAGAGGAAGAUCGAGUGACGGAGCGUGUCCGCCCGACAACAGCGAAUCCUCAAGCUCGAAAAUAGAUCGCAUAGCUUUCCCGGUACUUCAAACGACGUGUAUCGUAAUAGGCAAGCCCACUGCUCACCGAAAAGUCUUGGCCACGGAUAAUUAAACGUUUAUAAACACCAGAGAUUCCGCAAAACCCUGGUCGCACAUGACAACAUUAUUUGGCACGUUUCACCGAAAGAGCAAGGCCACGAUAAAAUCUGCACUUAUUAUGCGAAUUAUAAAUACGAGAGAUACAAACUGAGAAAUAUUACGCGAAUUUUGGCUUCGUAUAGGUUUAAUUUAAACAUAACCUAAAACAAUUUUUUGUAUAUAAGAACAUUCACUUUCUUUGAAUAAGUACUGUUAUACAUGCUAUUUAAAAUUUGUACAAACAUAGUCAUUCGCUAUGUUUGAGGAAAUAAUUGAGUCGAGAUAAAUUAAUUGUAAUUAUGAAUAUAAUUUAGUUUAAUUGAGUUUAAACAAAAUAUCUUUUAUGAAUAUGAUAAGAGUAUUUACAAGACCUUUUUGCAAUAGUAAAACAAAUACUUUAACAGAAUAAGAGAAGUAUCUCAGUCAAAAUGUUUGUUAAUAUGUUUGAGAAGAUUAAUUUUGUUUUAGUUUUAUAAAAGCUAAAAGAAAUUUUUAAUAAAGUAUAAAGCUAUUAUAACUGGCUGGAAUCUGGAUUAAA